UCAAUGGAAUGAGAUUUCGGUCAAAUGAAGUUGAGGACAGUGGCGGACGGGUGAGUAACGCGUGAGGAACCUGCCUUUCAGAGGGGGACAACAGUUGGAAACGACUGCUAAUACCGCAUAACACAUUGAGGUCGCAUGGCCUUGAUGUCAAAGAUUUAUCGCUGAAAGAUGGCCUCGCGUCUGAUUAGCUAGUUGGUGAGGUAACGGCCCACCAAGGCGACGAUCAGUAGCCGGACUGAGAGGUUGAACGGCCACAUUGGGACUGAGAUACGGCCCAGACUCCUACGGGAGGCAGCAGUGGGGAAUAUUGGGCAAUGGGCGCAAGCCUGACCCAGCAACGCCGCGUGAAGGAAGAAGGCUUUCGGGUUGUAAACUUCUUUUGCAAGGGAAGAGAAGAAGACGGUACCUUGUGAAUAAGCCACGGCUAACUACGUGCCAGCAGCCGCGGUAAUACGUAGGUGGCAAGCGUUGUCCGGAUUUACUGGGUGUAAAGGGCGUGUAGCCGGGUCGGUAAGUCAGAUGUGAAAUCUAUGAGCUCAACUCAUAAACUGCAUUUGAAACUGCUGAUCUUGAGUAUCGGAGAGGCAAUCGGAAUUCCUAGUGUAGCGGUGAAAUGCGUAGAUAUUAGGAGGAACACCAGUGGCGAAGGCGGAUUGCUGGACGACAACUGACGGUGAGGCGCGAAAGCGUGGGGAG
rnacentral:rRNA from 1 species